AGGAUGUGCAUCACAAGUAGCAAUGGAAACAAGAACCAAAAACUUAUCUGUUUCCAAUAGCAAAUAUGAUGUGAAAAUUAGUGUAUGGAGCGUAAUGAGAAGAUGCAAGCUUAAAGCUAUAUUAGAUCUUCACUCGAUGCUCCAAAA
rnacentral:sRNA from 1 species